CAUGCUGCCUCCAUCCCUCCCUCUCCCUCGGACUUGGCGGGGAGGGUAGAGAAAAAAAACAAGGAGUGGUUGUGUGAUUCCCGCUUAGUGCACGAGACAGAGAAACGGUAUGAGGGUGGAGGAAGAAGAGGAGGAGGAAGAGAAUGUGCCGGGGUAGUGGGGCGUCCCCCCAACACACGUAUACGCCAGCAUGGAUGCAAUUUGUAACAAACGGAGCGGCUUCUUCUCGAGAGUGGUGCUGUCUCCUUACAAAAGCAUGACACAAAAGAGGAUGAUGAUGAUGAAGAACAAGAGGAGGGCCUCUCGGCUCUACUCUCGACCACGGGUAUUCUUGGGUUGAUAAUACAGAUGUGGAUGUUAUUGCUUGAGAAUACGCGUAGUCGAGUGGAGGCUUUGUCAUCCCAAGGACGUUUGGAAUCAAAAGAUUCCAUUUGUGGGUUUAUGAAGUGUGUCCGUUUUAGCACCUGUAAGAAGAAAUGAGUUUGCUCGCAUCCCCUUCGAGUGGCGCUGAUGGUGACGACCUCCAGCACUGUGCUAACACUAAGCUCAACUCCCUAAAGGCAUUAUUAGUUCAGGGAGAUGAACACUCCAGUCACACGUUCAUUACAAACCUUCUACUACUCAGCCGGUUGUGCCCUCGAGGAGAGAAAGAGAGCAAGAGAGGCAAUAAUCUUAUUACUAGUGAGCAGGUAUAAUGGCCUGUUUCCGCCUAAAUUUAGUAGGAUUUUGCACAAUAAUCGUUGUAUUUAGUAGAGAAAUUGUGCUUUUUUUUUCAAUGGCAACAUUUGAUAAAUCCCGUUUUCUAUUUGGCAAGACAAGCCAAGGCAAAUUUAUUUGUAUAGCACAAUUUAACACAAGGCAAUUCAAAGUGCUUUGCAUCACAUGAAGAUCCACGAGAAGAGAUAAAAUAAUUCAUAAAAAUCACAUUAAAUCAAAGGAAAGUUAAAACAAUGACAAUUGAAACAGGAAAUAACAUUAUACAUGAAAUGAAUAAAAAGCAAAUAGGUUGAAAUUUGAAAUAUAUAGACAGUUAUAGAAUUGCUGUGAUAAACUUCAGACCUUCAGGCAACUUGUUCCAGAGGGGAGGCGCAUAAUAACUAAAUGCUGCCUCACUCUGCUUGGUUCUUUUUUGGAACGAGAAAUGGUUUGCAACCUGGAUAAGUUGCCAGUCAAUUAAGUAUUUUUUUUUUUUUCUGUAUUUAAAAUAUAUUAAAUGAUACCAAUUACCAAUACUAUUAUACUGUUGUUUUUUGUUUUUGUUUUUACCAUAAAUCUCAUUUAAAAUGAUUUAUUUUUCCCCAAAUUGACAGUCUACCGUAUAAUCCAGUACACAUUAUUUAAGAAUUCUUGUGUUUAAUGACCUCAAACCUAAUUUUUUGGACCAGAACUACAUUAUUAUAUAGCGGAACACACUCAGGUGACUUGAAGUUCCACUCUGAGACCCCCAAUUUGGCCAAAUUUCAAAAUUGUCCGAAAUGCAUGUGUGAUACAUCAUUGGAAAGCUUAAAAUCUCAAUUUUCUGGGGGAAGAAAAUUUUAUAACAGGAGGGCAUUUAAAAAAAGAAAAAAAAAAUUUUUAACAACAAAACCCUAUCUGGAGGUGAGAGCACGCGAGAGCAGAAUUACAGCCGCCAUGACUUUAAUAAGAUAUUAUCGCGUACUUACCUUGUUUCGAUCCAAAAACUCCAUUUAGCAUGUAUCACCGAGUUUCAAGACACAGCUGUGAAUCUCUACAGCUGGAUUUUUUAAGGAUUUUAUGGGUGAAACAUGGUAGUAUAACAAGGGUCACGAUGCAGAAAUCGCAGACAUCAAGGAGUGGUUGAGAUGUUCUUAUUCAUAUAUUUACCCUUGUAAACGUUUUUUUCCCCAUUUUUCUUUGUUUGGAUCGAUUAUUUAUCAUCUAACAUAUCGGAGAAAAUGCGACAGUAACAAAAAAAAAAAAAUACAAUUAAGCGAUAGUUAUGAAGUAGAUAUGCGUGACUUUUUUACAGACACCAUUUUUUUUUCAUUUUGAUUUAAUUGGUUUGAAAG